rnacentral:rRNA from 1 species
AUUGAACGCUGGCGGCAGGCCUAACACAUGCAAGUCGAACGAGUGGCGGACGGGUGAGUAAUGUCUGGGAAACUGCCUGAUGGAGGGGGAUAACUACUGGAAACGGUCACUAAUACCGCAUACCAUCGGCGGUGCCCAGAUGGGCUUAGCUGGGUGGUGGGGUAACGGCUCAACAAGGCGACGAACCCUAGCUGGUCGGAGAGGAGGACCAGCCAACCUGGAACUGAGACACGGUCCAGACGCCUACGGGAGGCAGGAGUGGGGAAUAUUGCACAAUGGGCGCAAGCCUGAUGCAGCCAUGCCGCGUGUAUGAAGAAGGCCUUCGGGUUGUAAAGUACUUUCAGCGGGGAGGCGUUACCCGCAGAAGAAGCACCGGCUAACUCCGUGCCAGCAGCCGCGGUAAUUC